GGCUAAUACCGGAUGUGGUCACGACAUCGCACUGGUGUUGUGAUUAAAGAUGGCUUCGGACUAUCGUCCACGGAUGAGCUUGCGGCCCAUUAGCUUGUUGGUGAGGUAACGGCUCACCAAUGCGACGAUGGGUAGCCGACCUGAGAGGGUGAUCGGCCACAUUGGGACUGAUAUACGGACCAGACUCCUACAGGAGGCAGCAGUAGGGAAUUUCGCGCAAUGGACGAAAGUCUGACGCAUCGACGCCGCGUGAGGGAUGACGGCCUUCGGGUUGGAAACCUCUGUUGAGUGGGACGAAAACUCGCAGUGGUUAAUACCCCUGCGGCCUGACGGUACCACUCGAGGAAGCUCCGGCUAACUACGUGCCAGCAGGCGCGGUAAUACGUAGGGAGCAAGCGUUGUUCGGAAUCACUGGGCGUAAAGGGAGUGUAGGCGGGAAAGUAAGUUAGGAGUGAAAUACACAUGCUUAACCUGUGGCCCGCUCUUAAUACUGCUUAUCUUGAGUAUGGGACAGGAAGAUGGAAUUCCAGGUGUAGCGGCGGACUGCGUACAUCUCUGGAAGAACACCAGUAGCGAAUGCGGUCUUCUGGUCCAAUACUGACGCUGAGGCUCGAAAGCUAGGGGAGCAAACAGGAUUAGAUACCCUGGUAGUCCUAGCCGUAAACGAUGGACACUAGUUCUCGGGGGAGUCAAUCCCCUCGGUGACGAAGCUAACGCAUUAAGUGUCCCGCCUGGGGAGUACGCUAGCAAGGGUGUUACUCUAAGGUAUUGACGGGGGCCCGCACAAGCGGUGGAGCAUGUGCUUUAAUUCGAUGCAACGCGAAGAACCUUACAUGGGUUUGACAUGGGGGUGAAAGUAACCAGAGAUGGAUACCUUUCCUUCGGGAACACCCCACACAGGUGCUGCAUGGUUGUCGUCAGCUCGUCUCGUGAGAUGUUGGGUUAAAGUCCCGCUAUGAGCGCAACCCGUACCGUUAGUUGCCAGCGGGUUAUUCCUGGGAUACUCUAGGGGGACUGCGUGGACUAACCAGGAGGAAGUUGGGGAUGACGUCAAAUCCUCUUGGCCCUUACGCCCAGGGCUAGACACGUGCUACAAUGGCCGGUAACUAUAGGCUGCGAACUCGCGAGAGUAAGCUAAUCCGAUCAAACACGGCCUCAGUUCGGAUUGGAGUCUGCAACUCGAUUCCAUGAAGGUGGAAUCGCUAGUAAUCGCGGAUCAGCAUGCCGCGGUGAAUACGUUCCCGGGCCUUGUACACACCGCCCGUCAAGCCAUGAAAGACGGU
rnacentral:rRNA from 1 species